rnacentral:rRNA from 1 species
GACGAACCGUGCUAACGUUGUUCGGAAUCACUGGGCUUAAAGGGCGCGUAGGCGGGCAUGCAAGUCAGGGGUGAAAGCCCACGGCUCAACCGUGGAAGUGCCUUUGAUACUGCUUGCCUCGAGGGAGGUAGGGCGUGCGGGAACUUCCGGUGGAGCGGUGAAAUGACGUAGAUAUCGGAAGAACACCGGUGGCGAAAGCGCGCGCUGGACCUCUUCUGACGCUGAGGCGCGAAAGCCAGGGGAGCAAGCGGG